rnacentral:rRNA from 1 species
ACGGGUAACGGGGAAUCAGGGUUCGAUUCCGGAGAGGGAGCCUGAGAAAUGGCUACCACAUCCAAGGGAGGCAGCAGGCGCGCAAAUUACCCAAUCCAGAAUCUGGGAGGUGGUGACGAGAAAUACUAGAUGGUUUCCUAACGGAUGCCAUACUGGAAUGGACGUAAUUUAAGAAAUUCGAUGAGUAACAACUGGAGGGCAAGUCUGGUGCCAGCAGCCGCGGUAAUUCCAGCUCCAGUAGUGUAUCUUAAAGUUGCUGCGUUUAAAACGCUCGUAGUUGGAUUACGCAGUGUAAUCUAGUCGAUUGGCACGAUGCUGCGCAAAAUUCAAUUGAUGCCAUUCUCAGCUACGGUUGAUCCUGGCUGUGAGUGUUGUUGAUUGAAGCAGUGCGUGUCGAUUAAACGCUAGUUUACACUACUUUUUCGUGAGGAUGGCGGUUGACCUUUAUUGCGUCGGCAGUCGUGUCUUACGAAGCGUGCCUUGAAUAAAUCAGAGUGCUCAAAACAGGCUUUAGCUUGAAUAUCGAUAGCAUGGAACGAACAAUUGUGUUAAAUGUGUCACAGUGAGAAUUUGGGAGGGUUUUAUAUUCACCCAAGUGCCCUCACUUUGACACAGCACCAACCACCAUUAUCGGAUGUUGGUUUCCGUGAUGGGGUGAUGAUUAAAAGGAGCGGUUGGGGGCAUUGGUAUUUUGCCGCGAGAGGUGAAAUUCUUGGACCGGCAAAGGACUAACAAAUGCGAAGGCAUCUGUCAAGACCGUUUCCAUUAAUCAAGAACGAUAGUGAGAGGUUCGAAGACGAUCAGAUACCGUCCUAGUUCUCACUGUAAACUAUGCCAACCCGGGAUCAGUUUUGAGCUCUGUUAUGCUCAUGGUUGGUCCCCCUGGGAAACCUCAAGUUUUUAGGUUACGGGGGGAGUAUGGUCGCAAGGCUGAAACUUAAAGGAAUUGACGGAAGGGCACCACCAGGGGUGGAGCCUGCGGCUUAAUUUGACUCAACACGGGAAAACUCACCUGGUCCGGACAUCGAAAGGAUAGACAGACUGAUAGAUCUUUCUUGAUACGGUGGAUGGUGGUGCAUGGCCGUUCUUAGUUCGUGGAGUGAUCUGUCAGGUUGAUUCCGGUAACGGACGAGACCAUAAUUUUCAUUU